rnacentral:lncRNA from 1 species
GCUGGUUUCGCGAAAAUACCGGCAUUUCCUGCCUGAGGUGGGGGAAGGGUCUUUUUUUCCCGCGUCCCGAGUCCCCUGUGGCCUUCCCGCACCCCGCGCUUGGCGAGUUUACGCCAUAGGGUGAAUUGCGACCCAGUGCUGCCAGCACUGCUGGACGUUAGCUUCGCUCUGGUCCUGCAGUGUGGACACUGACGCUUCUGCAGCCGGAGCGCUUUAGCGGCUUUGUCUUAUUCUUAGCCUUACACACAGGCUCAGACGUGGGAGUGGGGCGUCUGCGGGGCUGGAGGCUGAGAGCCCCGCAGAUCCUCUUCCUCCUCAGCAGUCUCCAAACAAUGGAAGGAAAGAGAACACGUGCCUGUUAGACUCAGUACCCCACCUCUCUCAUUGGGGUGCCUAUUGUGCCCAGGAAGGGAAAGCAGCAGUUAAACCUAGGACCUCAGGACUGGGUUCAGACAUCCUGGGUGUGGCCGCUUUUCCUUCUUGGAGAUAAACAAGGAAUGGAGAUAAACGGGCCGGGCUGCGUGGAUCGCGCUGUCAUGCGGAGUCACGAGGAUCACAGUGUGUGGCUCUCACUGUCCUGGAACUCACUAUUGUAGACCAGCCUAGCCUAGAACUCAAGAGAGAUCUGCCUGCCUCCCCAAUCUCUGCCCCCAAAGUGCGGGGAUUACAGCUGUGGACCACCACAGCCAGCUGGGUUUUUGUUUUGUGAGCACAUCCCAUAGGGGCCAGUCCUCAUGUCUUGUAUCAUCACAUCUGACAAG